GAUGAACGCUGGCGGCGUGCCUAAUACAUGCAAGUCGAGCGAACGGACGAGAAGCUUGCUUCUCUGAUGUUAGCGGCGGACGGGUGAGUAACACGUGGAUAACCCGCCUAUAAGACUGGGAUAACUUCGGGAAACCGGAGCUAAUACCGGAUAAUAUUUUGAACCGCAUGGUUCAAAAGUGAAAGACGGUCUUGCUGUCACUUAUAGAUGGAUCCGCGCUGCAUUAGCUAGUUGGUAAGGUAACGGCUUACCAAGGCAACGAUGCAUAGCCGACCUGAGAGGGUGAUCGGCCACACUGGAACUGAGACACGGUCCAGACUCCUACGGGAGGCAGCAGUAGGGAAUCUUCCGCAAUGGGCGAAAGCCUGACGGAGCAACGCCGCGUGAGUGAUGAAGGUCUUCGGAUCGUAAAACUCUGUUAUUAGGGAAGAACAUAUGUGUAAGUAACUGUGCACAUCUUGACGGUACCUAAUCAGAAAGCCACGGCUAACUACGUG
rnacentral:rRNA from 1 species